rnacentral:rRNA from 1 species
GAUGAACGCUAGCGGCAGGCUUAAUACAUGCAAGUUGAGGGGCAGCAUGAUAUACGCGAGUAUAUUGAUGGCGACCGGCGGACGGGUGAGUAAUAGGUAGGAGACCUACCUCAUACAGGGGGAUAGCAUAGAGAAAUCUGUGGUAAUACCCCAUGAGGUUAUAUGAAUAGAGGCAUAUAAUCAAAGCAUAAGCGAUUAUGCGGUAUGAGAGGGGCCUACUGACCAUUAGCUAGUUGGUGAGGUAAGGGCUCACCAAGGCGAAGAUGGUUAGGGGUUUUGAGAGAGAGACCCCCCACAUUGGAACUGAGAGACGGUCCAGACUCCUACGGGAGGCAGCAGUAGGGAAUAUUGGGCAAUGGGCGAAAGCCUGACCCAGCCAUGCCGCGUGAAGGAAGACGGCCUUAUGGGUUGUAAACUUCUUUACUACGCGAAUAGAGGUUAGUACGAGAUACUAAUAGGAAGGUAGUGUAGUAAAAGCACCAGCUAACU